rfam:Sus scrofa isolate TJ Tabasco breed Duroc chromosome 14, whole genome shotgun sequence.
GUAUAGGCUUUUCUCAAAGCCCUCCUGUAGAAAUAUAAACAUAUUUU